CCCUUAGAUGUUCUGGGCCGCACGCGCGCUACACUGAUACGUUCAGCGAGUAUAUAACCUUGAUUGGAAAAUCUGGGUAAUCUUUUGAAUGCGUAUCGUGCUGGGGAUAGAUUAUUGCAAUUAUUAAUCUUGAACGAGGAAUUCCUAGUAAACGCAAGUCAUCAGCUUGCAUUGAUUACGUCCCUGCCCUUUGUACACACCGCCUGUCGCACAAACCGAUUGAAUGAUUCGGUGAAAAUUUUGGACAUCGAGAGUGGUGAUUAAUUUCGCUGCUCUUAAAUGGAAAGAAUUUAAACCUAAUUAUUUAGAGGAUUGUGAAGUCAUAACA
rnacentral:rRNA from 1 species